GUUUCAGAUAGCUUAACUGGUAGAGACUAUGGCGCGUAACCAAAAGAUCCAGGUUCGAGUCCUGGUCUGGGCU
rnacentral:tRNA from 1 species